GAUGAACGCUGGCGGCGUGCCUAAUACAUGCAAGUCGAGCGAACAGACGAGGAGCUUGCUCCUCUGACGUUAGCGGCGGACGGGUGAGUAACACGUGGGUAACCUACCUAUAAGACUGGGAUAACUUCGGGAAACCGGAUCUAAUACCGGAUAAUAUAUGGAACGGCAUGGUUCAAUAGUGAAAGGCGGUUUUGCUGGCACUGAUAGAUGGAUCCGCGCCGCAUUAGCUAGUUGGUAAGGUAACGGCUUACCAAGGCGACGAUCCGUAGACGACCUGAGAGGGUGAUCGCCCACACUGGAACUGAGACACGGUCCAGACUCCUAAGGGAGGCAGCAGUAGGGAAUCGUACGCAAUGGGCGAAAGCAUGACGGAGCAACGCCGAGUGAGUGAUGAAGGUCUUCGGAUCGUAAAACUCUGUUAUUAGGGAAGAACAACUGUGUAAGUAAAAAUGCACGUAUUGACGGUACCUAAACAGAAAGCAACGGCUAACUACGUG
rnacentral:rRNA from 1 species